rnacentral:tRNA from 1 species
GCGCUUGUAGCUCAGCGGAUAGAGCGCAGCCCUGCGGAGGCUGAGGCCGUGGGUUCAAAUCCCGCCAAGCGCGCCA